UGGCGACCAUAGCAAGAGUGAACCACCUGAUCCCUUCCCGAACUCAGAAGUGAAACCUCUUAGCGCUGAUGGUAGUGUGGGAUUACCCA
rnacentral:rRNA from 1 species